GUGAACAACCAAGGGCGCGCGGUGGAUGCCUAGGCUCUCGGAGGCGAUGAAGGACGCGAUAAGCCGCGAUAGGCCACGGCGAGGUGCAAGUAACCCUUGACCCGUGGAUUUCCGAAUGGGGCAACCCGGCUGGAUAGAUUCCAGUCAUGCAUUAAUGCAAGCGAACGCGGGGAACUGAAACAUCUCAUUACCCGCAGGAGAAGAAAACAACAUGUGAUUCCCCCAGUAGUGGCGAGCGAACGGGGAAGAGCCCAAACCGCUGCCGUUUCGGCGACAGCGGGGUCAUGGGACCGCGACAUUCGACGGAAGACGAAGUGCAAUUACCUGGAAAGGUAAGCCGUGGAGGGUGACAGCCCCGUGCACGACACCUCUUUCUAAGAUAGCGGUAUCCCGAGUAGGGCGGGACACGAGAAAUCCUGCCUGAAUUCGCCAGGACCUCCUGGCAAGGCUAAAUACUCCCGAGAGACCGAUAGUGAACCAGUACCGCGAGGGAAAGGUGAAAAGUACCCCGAGCAGGGGGGUGAAAUAGACCCUGAACCCGCGCGCCUACAAGCGGUCGGAGCCAUGAAAUAUGGUGACGGCGUGCCUUUUGCAUAAUGAGCCUACGAGUUAGUCGUCACCAGCGAGGUUAAGGGCUUCAGGCCCGUUAGCCGAAGUGAAAGCGAGCCUUAACAGGGCGUUAAGUUGGUGGCGCUAGACGCGAAACCUUGUGAUCUACCCACGAGCAGGUUGAAGUCGCGGUAACACGUGAUGGAGGACCGAACCGGUAAACGUUGAAAAGUUUUCGGAUGACUCGCGGGUAGGGGUGAAAGGCCAAUCAAACUGGGAAAUAGCUCGUACUCUCCGAAAUGCAUUUCGGUGCAGCCUGUGAUGUUCUGUUCCAGAGGUAGAGCUACUGGUUGGACGCGAGGGCUUCACCGCCUAUCAAAUCCGGAUAAACUCCGAAUGCUGGAACACGAAAUCAUGGAGUGAGCCCGCGGGUGCUAAGGUCCGCGGACGAGAGGGAAAGAACCCGGACCACCGGCUAAGGUCCCGGAUGGACAGUUAAGUUGAUCAAACGAGGUGGGAUCGCGGAGACAGCUAGGAUGUUGGCUUGGAAGCAGCCAUUCAUUUAAAGAGUGCGUAACAGCUCACUAGUCGAGCGAUCCCGCGUGGAUAAUACACGGGCAUCAAACUGUCAACCGAAGCCGUGGGGUUAGUUAAUGACUAACCGGUAGGAGAGCAUUCCUGCCAGCUUUGAAGGUCACCCGCGAGAGUGACUGGAGCGGCAUGAAAAGCAAAUGUAGGCAUAAGUAACGAUAAUGGGGGCGAGAACCCCCCACGCCGCAAGACCAAGGAUUCCCCGGCAAUGUCAAUCAGCCGGGGGUCAGCCGGCCUCUAAGGCUCACCCGAAGGGGGAUGCCGACGAGAAACGGGUUAACAUUCCCGUGCUUCUCGUCACCGUGACGCGGUGACGGGGUGAUGAAUGGACCGCGCGCUGACGGAAUAGCGCGUUGAAGGCCGUACCCUUUGACGGUGGUAGUCAAGCACGCCACCGGAGGCGAAAGUCGAUAGUACCUCGAGGCCUCGGCCGAGGGGAUAGCGUCCAGGCAAUUUACCCCCUAGAAAACCCGCUAAACUUCAAGUGACGAGGAACCGUACUGUAAACGGACACACGUGGUCGGGUAGAACAUACCAAGGCGCUCGAGUGAUUCAUGGUCAAGGAACUAGGCAAAAUAGUCCUGUAACUUCGGGAAAAAGGACGCUCUAGUGAUAGAGCCGCAGAGUAAUGGCCCAGGCGACUGUUUACCAAAAACACAUGGCUAUGCCAAAUCGAAAGAUGACGUAUAUGGCCUGACACCUGCCCGGUGCCGGAAGGUUAAGAGGAGAGCUCAUCCGCGAGGAGAAGGUUUGAAUUGAAGCCCCGGUAAACGGCGGCCGUAACUAUAACGGUCCUAAGGUAGCGAAAUUCCUUGUCGGGU
rnacentral:rRNA from 1 species